CCUCUUCUUGAAAGUGACUUGUCCUCAAGUCAAGUCGUUGGUUUACUCGAAAGCGUUCGCGCGACUUGUCUUGGUUGAAAGGGGCGAAUGGCAAAUGAGUGACCUGAAAUUUAUAGCCAUGCGUUAACAAAAAGCAAUGCAAACAAAUUUGUAGUCCACGCAUAAUAAAAAAAAAGUGCAACACAUGUGAAUGGAUAGAUGCAAAAUACCACAUUUGCAAUCAUGCCAAAAAAUAUCUUACUUGUGAAUGUCUAUUCAAACGAUAUAGACAAAAACAGAUAUGUUGUAAGGCAUUCAAAAAUCCCAAUUGGUUUCCACCAAUCAUAGCCUAGAUGCGAGUAAUGAGUCAAAAGAUGUACGUAGGCAUCAAAAAUAGUCAAACGAAAAGAAUUAGAAGAUUCAUGGUCUUCCUUAGUUGGGCAUUGUAAUGACUAUUUAAUCGCAUGUUUUCCAACAAAAUCAUGAUGAUCAAAAACAAGAAUCUUUUUAUCAACCACCAAAACAGAUAGAUCAUCAUCAACCAAAUAGAACAAUUAAGCACGCCACGAUCUAACUGUUUUACAAAAGCUAAAUCAUCAACACGAUUUUUAACACCAUCUGAGGAGAAUAGAAAUGUUUCAAGACAUUCAAGUGUCUUACCUUUAUGAGCAGGAAAAUAAAGAUCGUUUUUACCUCGCUCGAUCAGCACAAACCAUCGCUCUUUGGGGGUAUAGAGAAGUCAAAACUUCGUGGUUGAGUUAACCUUUUCGGAAUGACACGCAAACUUCAUGUACAACCACAGAAAUGACGUAUGGAACAAAUUUAAAUUGAAAUCAAAUUUGUCAAUCCUCGUUUCCUUAUUUAAAAACCAAGUAUCAAACAAAUAGAAAUUAUUCGCACAAACUUUAAGAUGCUGGUUUCUCCCGCAAAACGAAUCAAAACAUAUUCUGGGUAUAAAAACAUGAGUUUGAUU
rnacentral:lncRNA from 1 species